GCCCUGAUGGCGAAAUGGCAGACGCAACAGACUUAAAAUCUGUCGGAGAAAUCCUUGCGGGUUCGAGUCCCGCUCAGGGCA
rnacentral:tRNA from 1 species